CCUUGGCGCCAAUCUCCAUACCGGUCCCGCUUCGAUAUCGUAUUUAGUGACUUUAUUUAUAGUUUACAUUUUGCAAACCUGCUUAGAACAGUGCGCCACGCUGCGUGUAUUCAAUUUCCACCGUUGCAGUGUUGCCAGCGCCCGGAUCCCGUCGGACGCCACUUUAUGAUCCACUUGUCGCCUCCGGGGAUUUAUGGUUGACACUUGGGUGCCGAGAGAAACGGAGCGAUAUCCCGAAUUUUAAGGGUGGGAUUAUUUGACAACCUGUCUGGCGACACGGUUUUAGCGCAGAGUGUUCUGUGUGCUUUGUGUUAGCACUUUGGGCUUUGGGAAUUGCCAACGACAAGCUGGCACCGCCAAGAUCGUCGUCGUCGUCGUCGGUUGUUUGAACAAGUGAAGUUUAGGAUAUCAAUGAGCGGAAUUGUUUGGGGUUGGGCACAUGGGCUUUGGGGAAGUUUUGAGCCGGUUGCGAUCAGUUCGGAUCGAAGUUUGGACGUGGAAGCAGCCGAAAUGUUGGAUCUUUUCCAGUUUAUAACCUGGUUUAUAUUGGCCCUUAUAUGGUUUCCGCUUAAGAUCUUGCUGAAGAUUAUCUGCUUUUGAGAUGUAGACGAUUCCUCGGAUACCUCGCGGCUCCACUGUACGGCGAUGAUCCCCGGAACGGCUCACUUGCCCAAUUACUAUUCCGAAAUACACUGGAUUAGCGCGCUGUAA